UGUGGAUAGGGGAGAAAUUCCAAUCGAACCCGGAGAUAGCUGGUUCUCCUCGAAAUAGCUUUAGGGCUAGCCUCGAUACAGAUUUGCGGAGGUAGAGCACUGAAUUUCCUAGGGGGCGUCAAAGCCUACCGAAGAAUAUCAAACUCCGAAUGCCGCGUAAUCGAUUAUCGGGAGUCAGACUGCACGAGAUAAGUUGGGCGGUCAAAAGGGAAAGAGCCCAGACCUUCAGUUAAGGUCCCCAAGUGCGCGUUAAGUGGAAAAGGAUGUGGGAUUUCGAAGACAACCAGGAUGUUGGCUCAGAAGCAGCCAUCCAUUCAAAGAGUGCGUAAUAGCUCACUGGUCGAGAGGUCCUGCGCCGAAAAUGUCCGGGGCUGAAACGCGCCACCGAAACUAAGGAACCGAAAGGUUGGUAGAGGAGCAUUGCAUGCGGAACGAAGCAGUACCGAAAGGAGCUGUGGACUGCAUGGAAGAGAGAAUGCCGGAAUGAGUAGCGAGAAUAAGGUGGGAAUCCUUAUGGCCGAAUAUCCAAGGUUUCCAGAGUAAAGCUGAUCUGCUCUGGGUAAGUCGGGGCCUAAGGCGAGGACGAGAGUCGUAGCCGAUGGACAACAGGUGGAGAUUCCUGUACUGCGGUAUGACAGAACUGUGGGGACACGUAAGGAAAGCGGAAGCCGGGAAUGGAAAGCCCGGUGCAAGCGGGGUACCAGUCACUUUGGCAAAUCCGGGUGGCAAUGGGAAGCCGUGAUGCGGAGCGAAAUAAAGUAGUGAAGUCCGUGAGCCAUGCGUCAAGAAAAGCCGCUAUUGUUUAUACCGUACCCGUACCGUAAACCGACACAGGUGGAUGAGGAGAGAAUCCUAAGGCCGGCGGAAGAAGCAUUGUCAAGGAACUCGGCAAAAUGGCCCCGUAACUUAGGGAUAAGGGGUGCCUGGGAAACCAGGCCGCAGAGAAUAGGCUCAAGCAACUGUUUAGCAAAAACACAGGUCUAUGCGAAACCGAAAGGUGAGGUAUAUGGGCUGACGCCUGCCCGGUGCUGGAAGGUUAAGAGGAGAGGUUAGCGCAAGCGAAGCUUUGAA
rnacentral:rRNA from 1 species